rnacentral:rRNA from 1 species
UGAACGCUGGCGGCGUGCCUAAUACAUGCAAGUCGAGCGAACGGACGAGAAGCUUGCUUCUCUGAUGUUAGCGGCGGACGGGUGAGUAACACGUGGAUAACCUACCUAUAAGACUGGGAUAACUUCGGGAAACCGGAGCUAAUACCGGAUGAUAUUUUGAACCGCAUGGUUCAAAAGUGAAAGACGGUCUUGCUGUCACUUAUAGAUGGAUCCGCGCUGCAUUAGCUAGUUGGUAAGGUAACGGCUUACCAAGGCAACGAUGCAUAGCCGACCUGAGAGGGUGAUCGGCCACACUGGAACUGAGACACGGUCCAGACUCCUACGGGAGGCGGCAGUAGGGAAUCUUCCGCAAUGGGCGAAAGCCUGACGGAGCAACGCCGCGUGAGUGAUGAAGGUCUUCGGAUCGUAAAACUCUGUUACUAGGGAAGAACAUAUGUGUAAGUAACUGUGCACAUCUUGACGGUACCUAAUCAGAAAGCCACGGCUAACUACGUG